AGCGAACGCUGGCGGCAUGCUUAACACAUGCAAGUCGCACGGGCACUUUCGGGUGUCAGUGGCGGACGGGUGAGUAUCGCGUAGGGAUUUAUCGUUGGGUGGGGGAUAACCUUGGGAAACUGGGGCUAAUACCGCAUGACGCCUGUGGGCCAAAGCAGAGAUGCGCCUGAUGAGGAGCCUGCGUCCGAUUAGUUAGUUGGUGGGGUAAAGGCUUACC
rnacentral:rRNA from 1 species